rnacentral:lncRNA from 1 species
GUGUUAGUUAUCCUACAGUGUUAGUUAUCCUACAGUGUUAGUUAUCCUACAGUGUUAGUUAUCCAACAGUGUUAGUUAUCCAACAGUGAUAGUUAUCCAACAGUGUUAGUUAUCCUUCAGUGUUAGUUAUCCUACAGUGUUAGUUAUCCUACAGUGUUAGUUAUCCAACAGCAUUAGAGUUAUCCAACAGUGUUAGUUAUCCAACAGUGUUAGUUAUCCAACAGUGUUAGUUAUCCUACAGUGUUAGUUAUCCUACAGUGUUAGUUAUCCUACAGUGUUAGUUCCUGUUAAGGCAAGGGCUGAUUUCAAGGUUUUACUGCUAACCUAAAAAGCAUUACAUGGGCUUGCUCCUACCUAUCUUUCCGAUUUGGUCGUGCCGUACAUACCUACACGUACGCUACGGUCACAAGACGCAGGCCUCCUAAUUGUCCCUAGAAUUUCUAAGCAAACGGCUGGAGGUAGGGCUUUCUCCUAUAGAGCUCAAUUUUUAUGGAAUGGUCUGCCUACCAAUGUGAGAGACGCAGACUCAGUCUCAACUUUUAAGUCUUUACUGAAGACUUAUCUCUUCAGUAGGUCCUAUGAUUAAGUAUAGUCUUGCCCAGGAGUGUGAAGGUGAACGGAAAGGCUGGAGCAACGAACUGCCCUUGCUGUCUCUGCCUUGCCGGUUCCCCUCUUUCCACUGGGAAUCUCUCUCUGCCUCUGACCCUUUUACAGGGGCUGAGUCACUGGCUUACUGGUGUUCUUCCAUGCCGUCCAUGGGAGGGGUGCGUCACUUGAGUGGGUUGAGUCACUGACGUGGUCUUCCUGUCUGGGUUGGCGCCCCCCCUUGGGUUGUGCCAUGACGGAGAUCGUUGUGGGCUAUACUCGGCCUUGUCUUAGGACGGUAAGUUGGUGGUUGGAGACAUCCCUCUAGUGGUGUGGGGGCCGUGCUUUGGCAAAGUGGGUUGGGCUAUAUCCUGCCUGUUUGGUCCUGUCCGGGGGGUAUCAUCGGAUGGGGCCACAGUGUCUUCUGAUCCCUCCUGUCUCAGCCUCCAGUAUUUAUGCUGCAGUAGUUUAUGUGUCAGGG